CUCAUUUCUCUCUCGGUCUCUCCCAUGAGAGGGAGAGCCAAGCCACAAGCACCUGCUCGCGUCUCUCUCCCUCGCCGCCCCACCUUCCACCGUUCCCGUGGCUAGCUAGGGUUUCUGCUACCAUCCUACCAAUUCGCCUCGAUCUGCCAGAUCCGGCGAUGGCGAGGCUAGAGGUGCCCGGAUCCGGCACCGGAAGGGAGUAAUAGCUAGCUCGUCGAUGUGCACGUGCUACACUCCAUGCCGCUCCAUCGAGCUGGCUGGACGGUGGAGGCGCAAGACCUAGGGUUUGUGGUUUCUUUGACACAUGCUGGCCACAGAUCUCCGACAAGUAGGACGACAAUGAUAUCGACAGGAUCCUCGAAUGGCUUUCAUCCACCUCGCGCUGCAGGGCGGGGUCGGUCAUCUUCUGGGGCGAGGGGAUCAGUUCCCCACCCUGGCAGUCGAUCCUGACCGCCAGUACUUUACUGGCCUCCUCCACUGGCGUCUGUGCGAUGGCGCCCGACGCCAUGUAGGUUGCGUCAGCUGCUUUAGUAGGCAUGCCAUGGAUGUGAUGGACCUGCUGCCACCGGAUGUCUUCCACGAGCUGCUCCUGUUGUUGAUCCUCAUCAACUUCACAUGUUUUCUGUUGUUGCUGUAGUUAUCAAUUAGCUUAAUUGCUUACUGGAUCCGUCGACUUUGCAACCGUCAAGCCCGUCGACUUCUCCGCCAUUGACUUUGGCCGCAAGACAAUGUGCCAUCGCCUCCGUCGAUUAUGCCAGAAGAUCAUUAGCCGUCGCGUAGGCCUACUUUGGCACAGGUACAUAGAGUACUAACUUUGAAGAACAAGAUACAAGAUUUGAAGCAGCCAAGCUUGCCACCCAUCGCUAUGUGCCAAAUACAUUCGAAUUGCACAGUAUGCUUUGUUUGAUCGAGACUUCUCGAUCUGUAUCAAGUUUAUUGGAAGAUAGCCUGAAGGUUUGUGGAUGACUAGUAGCUUCUAAGGACGUAUCCAAUGGUGGGGUUGACGUCCAUGUAGAACAUCUCCAACUGUAAAGUUGGAAGAAGCUUAAUUCAAGUUGGAACAAAAUGGAACUUUCAUGUGACGUGAUGGUUUUUGUUUAGUCAUGUGAGGUUGUAAGUUGAUGAAAUAUUAACUAUUGCUUGCUGUCAUGUGCCCUUUUAAUUUGCUACGAGUUAUGUACUGUAAUGUGAUGUCUUCUCGUUGGAUAGAAGAUGAGUUGAAACA